AUAGACAACAAGUUUUAAAUCAAUAUUCACAGCGGAAAUAAUAAUUCAUUACAAGAGUUAAGUAGAGAAUAAAAUCUACUAUCUUCUAUAUAUGAAUUUAAAAGUCCAUCAUCAAUAUUUUAUCCCUGUAACAUCAAUCAAUAUACAUCUUGAAUUAAAUAGUCAUUUUUGCACUACAGGCCAAAGAUAUUCAUCAGUUGGUCAUGUUCAUCUAAACACCUGUUCAUCCUUGCACUACGGGCCAAAGAUAUUCAUCAGAAAAUCAUUCAUCUUUGCACUACAUGCCAAAGAUAUUCAGUUAUAUCAUCAUUUAGGACUGAG
rnacentral:lncRNA from 1 species